UCAUUCCCAAACCUGAAGCCCCCUGUCCCCAGCAGGAAAGACCAGGAAAAAGUGUUGGUUUAAGGUGCAGCAUCCUAUUGAGGAAAUAUCUAUUAGCGCAAUCACAGUCCUCACAGCUGCAGUCGUCUGACCCUGCACCUGCUACACCGGCCACGACAGAUGAUACAGAUCUGCCACCCCCAGCAGUUCAGCUGCAGUCACAGUAGUCCUCUGCUGUGGUAUUUCAUUUACCGGCUGCACCAGUUCUUACUACACUGGCUGCGAAGGGAGAAACUUUUGAGGAUUCCCAGAUGGAUACAGAUCUGCCAUGCACUCCACCACUGCCCCUGAUAGCCUCUCCCAGAAGUGCAUACACCGGGUCUAUCACUAUUGACAAAGCAGAGAUAGGUGGCUGACAAGGAAAAAUAAAACAACAUCCCACACACACACACACAUUAUCCCCAAUGUAAAUACAUUGUAAUUACUUCAUUAUUUUAUUUUAGGAUUGGAGAUAUCUACACCUACAUAUUCAUUAUCAAUAACUACAUAAUUACUCUAAGAAUCUUUCCAAUCAGUGUGAUUGAUAAUAUUGUAAGAGUAUUGCUUAAUUUGUAGUUUGAGAAAACUCAGUGUGCUUUUUUGAGUUGAAAAACAUUCUUCUCACACACACACACACACACACACACACACACACACACACACACACACACACACACACACACACACACACACACACACACACACACACACACACAACCUUAAUAAUGUAAAUACAUUAUUUAAUGUAGGCUCCAUUAAUUUUUUAUUUUAUUUUUUAUUUUUUAUAAUUAAUUUGUUUAAAAAAAAAAUGUUUUUAG